rnacentral:rRNA from 1 species
AGAACGAACGCUGGCGGCAGGCUUAACGCAUGCAAGUCGAACGCCCCGCAAGGGGAGUGGCAGACGGGUGAGUAACGCGUGGGAAUCUACCCAGAUCUUCGGAACAACUGAGGGAAACUUCAGCUAAUACCGGAUACGCCCUACGGGGGAAAGAUUUAUCGGUUCUGGAUGAGCCCGCGUUGGAUUAGCUAGUUGGUGGGGUAAUGGCCUACCAAGGCGACGAUCCAUAGCUGGUCUGAGAGGAUGAUCAGCCACACUGGGACUGAGACACGGCCCAGACUCCUACGGGAGGCAGCAGUGGGGAAUAUUGGACAAUGGGCGAAAGCCUGAUCCAGCCAUGCCGCGUGAGUGAUGAAGGCCUUAGGGUUGUAAAGCUCUUUCAGUGGGGAAGAUAAUGACGGUACCCACAGAAGAAGCCCCGGCUAACUUCGUGCCAGCAGCCGC